rnacentral:rRNA from 1 species
GACGAACGCUGGCGGCGUGCUUAACACAUGCAAGUCGAACGGAAAGGCCCUGCUUGCAGGGUACUCGAGUGGCGAACGGGUGAGUAACACGUGGGUGAUCUGCCCUGCACUUCGGGAUAAGCUUGGGAAACUGGGUCUAAUACCGGAUAGGAGCCAUCUUUAGUGUGGUGGUUGGAAAGUUUUUUCGGUGUAGGAUGAGCUCGCGGCCUAUCAGCUUGUUGGUGGGGUAAUGGCCUACCAAGGCGGCGACGGGUAGCCGGCCUGAGAGGGUGUACGGCCACAUUGGGACUGAGAUACGGCCCAGACUCCUACGGGAGGCAGCAGUGGGGAAUAUUGCACAAUGGGCGCAAGCCGGAUGCAGCGACGCCGCGUGGGGGAUGAAGGCCUUCGGGUUGUAAACUCCUUUCGCUAGGGACGAAGCUUUUUGUGACGGUACCUAGAUAAGAAGCACCGGCUAACUACGUG